rnacentral:lncRNA from 1 species
GAACCUGGCCUUCCUGCUAUCUGUUCUUUUUGAUGGGACAUAAUUGAGCCAGCUCUGGUUACAGAGACAGAGGCUUGGGAAAGUCAAUGGUCAGAAUGAAGGUGACCCUGCAGAAGAAUCCAUCAAAGAAUAGGGUUUCUUUGUGCAUGCAUGCUUUGCGUGGUGGGGGCUGGGUUCAGUUCCCAGGUUUGUGACUGAAUAUCAUUUUCGGCUUCAAUGCCUAGUGCUGACAUGAGUUUCUCCGGAUGGCUUUUCUAUAAAAAGAUCCUGGGCAGAGAAGUGCAAGAGGAAGCCCACAUUCUGGGGCCAGCUGGUCAGUGCAGGCAGCACCUUGGCCUUUGACCAGGACAGGGGCAGUGUUAUGUCCCCGCAGCCUUGCGGAAGGCCUUGGGUCUCCUCUGUGCUCCAACAUCAUCUCGGCCUGGACCCUACCUUUUCUUAACUGAGGUUAACUCAUUGCCAGGACAAACAGCCCAGCCAAUGAAUUUUGGCCUACAGAGAAAUCUCACUCUUGAAUAACCUUGGAUUGAGUUCUUUCAUUAGAAUCCUUCCAAAGUGCUAGCAAUUGAUUUGCCACAAAAGAAAGGUUUGAUUUUAACUGGCACAGGAAUGCAAGCUGAAAUCCUCACUGCACACAGGAGUGAUGUUGCCUACGGAGAACUCAGGUUUUAAAUCACUGUACUGCAAACUAACACCCCAUUUAACAAACGGAGCAGAAAAGCUACUCUGAGCCACAGAGUCGGUGGCCGCCUGUGCAUUCGCCUGAACUUUCAGGCAAACUGGAGAGUCCCGGCUUCUGUUAAAUAGACUUCAAAAAUAUCAACUCCCUAUGUAUCCACAAGCAGGGUUUCUUAUCAAAGUCAUCCACCACUCAAAGACUUAAUUUAUUUUUCCAACCCAGUAAAACAAUGGUUCUUUUAUACAGUAUCUGAAUAUUGUAAACCUAAUAAAGGCAAGUGAAAUCCUAUCAUCAAGUGUGCCAGAGAACACGGGCUUUAAGUAUUUGAGCAGAAACAAUCUCUGUUUCACAAUUAUCCCAGGACGGUGAGGAGAAAGGUGAAUUCAGUCAUGCACCUGGAAUGGAGUUGAGUAAUCCUAGCCUCUAGCACAGAAGGAGUAGCAUGGAGAAAAAGAGAAAGAUUUCUCAAUUGUUGCUGCACCAAGAUUCCUGACAAUAUUGGGAUACUGUUCACUCAACAGACAAUUUGGGAGCGUGGUCUCAGUUCUUGUCUGAGCCCUCACACAGGGAGGCUCAACACCAACUUUUUUAAACGUUGAAGCCAAUUUCUCAACAAUGCCCUGCGUUGUUUCUUUAUACAUGAAAUCACUCUCUUUGGUAUCAAUAGGCUGAACUUGAUAUAUGUUGUGUGAGAUUCUGAUGACACCUGUAUCCCUAUGAAUACCAGGUCUGCGGGAUAUGAUUUUAUAAAAGAUAAAUGAGGUAGGAAAUGAGUGCAGCCAAUGGCUGUACCAUCCUUGUGGACAACACCUUGAAAGUGAGGCAAGUUCAUGCAUCUGCAGUCUCAAGUUCGUUCACCUGCGGUCUCCACACCUGAUACUCUCUCCGUGGCUGGUUUGUGUCUGCCCCAC